ACGACCUUACUUGAACAGGAUCUGUUCUAUAGGCUCGUACUUCUGUAUCCUUCAGUUCAAAGGAGACAGGAGCCUAAGUCUGGUGGAAGAAUCGUGACCAUGCGACCAGAGCGUGAUUAAUGGCGUGGAUAGUCUGGUUUCUAGGCCAUCUCGGCUGUAGAGGAUCGUUCCCAUCCGGUUUCGCCAGGAUGAGAUGGUCGUGCGGUUGUCUGACAGACU
rnacentral:snoRNA from 1 species